AACGAACGCUGGCGGCAGGCCUAACACAUGCAAGUCGAGCGAGAUCUUCGGGUCUAGCGGCGGACGGGUGAGUAACGCGUGGGAAUAUGCCUCUCGGUACGGAAUAGCCUCGGGAAACUGGGAGUAAUACCGUAUGUGCCCUUUGGGGGAAAGAUUUAUCGCCAAGAGAUUAGCCCGCGUUGGAUUAGGUAGUUGGUGGGGUAAUGGCCUACCAAGCCGACGAUCCAUAGCUGGUUUGAGAGGAUGAUCAGCCACACUGGGACUGAGACACGGCCCAGACUCCUACGGGAGGCAGCAGUGGGGAAUCUUAGACAAUGGGGGCAACCCUGAUCUAGCCAUGCCGCGUGAGUGAUGAAGGCCUUAGGGUUGUAAAGCUCUUUCAGCUGGGAAGAUAAUGACGGUACCAGCAGAAGAAGCCCCGGCUAACUCCGUG
rnacentral:rRNA from 1 species